AGGUAACGAAGUGGUUGAUGCCAUGCUUCCAAGAAAAGCUUCUAAGCUUCAGGUAACCAGGAACCGUACCCCAAACCGACACAGGUGGUUGGGUAGAGAAUACCAAGGCGCUUGAGAGAACUCGGGUGAAGGAACUAGGCAAAAUGGCACCGUAACUUCGGGAGAAGGUGCGCCGGUGAGGGUGAAGGACUUGCUCCGUAAGCUCAUGCCGGUCGAAGAUACCAGGCCGCUGCGACUGUUUAUUAAAAACACAGCACUCUGCAAACACGAAAGUGGACGUAUAGGGUGUGACGCCUGCCCGGUGCCGGAAGGUUAAUUGAUGGGGUUAGCUAACGCGAAGCUCUUGAUCGAAGCCCCGGUAAACGGCGGCCGUAACUAUAACGGUCCUAAGGUAGCGAAAUUCCUUGUCGGGUAAGUUCCGACCUGCACGAAUGGCGUAACGAUGGCGGCGCUGUCUCCACCCGAGACUCAGUGAAAUUGAAAUCGCUGUGAAGAUGCAGUGUAUCCGCGGCUAGACGGAAAGACCCCGUGAACCUUUACUAUAGCUUUGCACUGGACUUUGAAUUUGCUUGUGUAGGAUAGGUGGGAGGCUUUGAAGCGUGGACGCCAGUCUGCGUGGAGCCAUCCUUGAAAUACCACCCUGGCAACUUUGAGGUUCUAACUCAGGUCCGUUAUCCGGAUCGAGGACAGUGUAUGGUGGGUAGUUUGACUGGGGCGGUCUCCUCCUAAAGAGUAACGGAGGAGUACGAAGGUGCGCUCAGACCGGUCGGAAAUCGGUCGUAGAGUAUAAAGGCAAAAGCGCGCUUGACUGCGAGACAGACACGUCGAGCAGGUACGAAAGUAGGUCUUAGUGAUCCGGUGGUUCUGUAUGGAAGGGCCAUCGCUCAACGGAUAAAAGGUACUCCGGGGAUAACAGGCUGAUACCGCCCAAGAGUUCAUAUCGACGGCGGUGUUUGGCACCUCGAUGUCGGCUCAUCACAUCCUGGGGCUGAAGCCGGUCCCAAGGGUAUGGCUGUUCGCCAUUUAAAGUGGUACGCGAGCUGGGUUUAGAACGUCGUGAGACAGUUCGGUCCCUAUCUGCCGUGGACGUUUGAGAUUUGAGAGGGGCUGCUCCUAGUACGAGAGGACCGGAGUGGACGAACCUCUGGUGUUCCGGUUGUCACGCCAGUGGCAUUGCCGGGUAGCUAUGUUCGGAAUAGAUAACCGCUGAAAGCAUCUAAGCGGGAAACUAGCCUCAAGAUGAGAUCUCACUGGAACCUUGAGUUCCCUGAAGGGCCGUCGAAGACUACGACGUUGAUAGGUUGGGUGUGUAAGCGCUGUGAGGCGUUGAGCUAACCAAUACUAAUUGCCCGUGAGGCUUGACCAU
rnacentral:rRNA from 1 species